GGGAUGAUGAGGUUAGCAGAAAGUGGCGAACGGGUGAGUAACGCGUGGGUAAUCUACCCUGUAAGUGGGGGAUACCCCUCCGAAAGGAGGGCUAAUACCGCAUAAUAUCUUUAUCCCACAAGAGGUAAAGAUUAAAGAUGGCCUCUAUACUAUGCUAUCACUUCAGGAUGAGCCCGCGUCCUAUUAGUUAGUUGGUGGGGUAAUGGCCUACCAAGACUACAAUGGGUAGCCGGUCUGAGAGGAUGUACGGCCACACUGGGACUGAGAUACGGCCCAGACUCCUACGGGAGGCAGCAGUGGGGAAUAUUGCGCAAUGGGGGAAACCCUGACGCAGCGACGCCGCGUGGAUGAUGAAGGCCCUUGGGUUGUAAAAUCCUGUUCUGGGGGAAGAAAGCUUAAGAGUCCAAUAAACCCUUAAGCCUGACGGUACCCCAAGAGAAAGCUCCGGCUAAUUAUGUGCCAGCAGCCGCGGUAAUACAUAAGGAGCAAGCGUUAUCCGGAAUUAUUGGGCGUAAAGAGCUCGUAGGCGGUCUUAAAAGUCAGGUGUGAAAUUAUCAGGCUUAACCUGAUAAGGUCAUCUGAAACUUUAAGACUUGAGGUUAGAAGAGGAAAGUGGAAUUCCCGGUGUAGCGGUGAAAUGCGUAGAUAUCGGGAGGAACCACCAGUGGCGAAGGCGGCUUUCUGGUCUAUCUCUGACGCUGAGGAGCGAAAGCUAGGGGUGCAAACGGGAUUAGAUACCCCGGUAGUCCUAGCUGUAAACGAUGGAUACUAGGUGUGGGAGGUAUCGACCCCUUCUGUGCCGCAGCUAACGCAUUAAGUAUCCCGCCUGGGGAGUACGGUCGCAAGGCUGAAACUCAAUUGAAUUGACG
rnacentral:rRNA from 1 species